rnacentral:lncRNA from 1 species
AUGCCCUAUGAUGUAUGUCAUAUUUAGGUGAUUUUUGUUUGCCGAAUAGUUAAGACUUAUGCUUGCCUUUUUCAGUAAUUGGCACUGACUUAAGAGAUCUCCAAGUACAUUUACACUAACACUACACUACUCUUUCUUUCAUAUCUCUCUCAAACUUAAACUUUUAACUAAAAUUCUUUCCUGGCUUAGGCAUCCAAUGAUCCAUCAUCAAACA